CUUUUAAACGCUUCUCAAAAAAUAUAUCAUCUCCUCUCUCUCCCUGCUCUUUGCUCCCUUUCCCUCCCUCCUCACGCGGGCGACAGCGACGGCAGCGGCGACAGACGGUCCUCAGAGCAGCCGCGGCCGCGGCCGUCUUCCUUCCUCCCUCUCCCUGCCCUCUCCCUCUCACCCGACAUGCUAGCGUGCUCCAGCAACACCGGGUGGCCGGAACAGCGGUGCCCUCAGCAUGCCGCGGAGCGCUGCGCAUGCGACCCACCGGUGGCCGUCCCUGGCCACGGAGUGCGCGGCUAGGCCCUACGCUGUAUCCUCCCAUCGAUCUGCGGGCGUUGAUCCGCGGGCGCUUGACAAACCCUAGCUGCCUCUUCCUCGCCGGAGGCGGCGCCAGCCCUCGGCGCUCCGCGUUGGGUGCUGUGCCGGUGGCGCGAGUGGCCGCCCUCGUCGCGGGGGCUCCGAUGGCCGCCCUCCCCGGGCACGACGUGCUCGACCGAGCCCUGCCGGUGGUUGACGGCGCGGCUGCCCCCUUCCGGUACAAUACUCGAAUUAAAAUUUGAGCGCAUCAAAAAGCAAUUCACGAUGCUCCUGUCAAGGUCCUCAAGACCUAGGGUAGGCGGACCGCGGCUACGGAGUUCGUAGCCUCUGUCCGUGGCUGCUGGUCGGGUUAUGCCCCCAGACCAAGAACACGUCGACGGGUUAUGCCCCCCGCCGCCGGCUUAAGAGAAGAGAUAGGAUAGAUUGAUAUUUUCUUUCAUAAUCCUCAAGGUCUGAUUACACCGGCUUAUAUAGCCUUUAGUCCCAACAAACCUUCCUAAACUUUAGGACUAAGAAAGGAAAGCAACCAACUAAUAAAGGGAAACAACCAACUAAAUCUUUUAUUCCCUAUAAUCCUAGCCGCCUAGCCUGUUUCCCUGCUGACCCAGGCACUCAGCGCGUUCUGCUGCGCGACGGACGUCGCGCGCCCUACGGCGACGCGAGUAUGCGCGCCCGUACAUGACAGCUCCAGAUGAGAGUAUGCUAUUUAGCAGAUGAGAACCAAUUCAACUGUAAUUGCUGUUACUGAAAGCUGACCUGCAGAGUGGAUUGGUGACUAUAGUCUGCUCGCUAAACUUAAAAGUGUUACUGUGUGAGAUCAAGGGAAGUAGCUUCCCAAAUUUAUUUGGGUCCUUCAAAAUCCAUCGUUUAUUAGGUGCAUGAUCACAACAUGCCUGCUUAAAAAGAUACGAGAACACUCUCAUUUCAAUUUCAAUGAUGGCUCCAAUUCAAUAAGGUAAUAGCCUGAAUACUUUCAGUUUCGCUGUUGGACAACUGCAGUUACCUAAGAGUUCCCUAAUUGGUAAGUAGCUAAUUUUUAGAAGUGAUUUAUAGGUAUAGAAUGGCAAGGGCAAUAUAGAUGGAGCCAUUGAAAUUUUCAAAAAAAAAGUGAUAUGAAGGAUCAUGUAAUCUCUAGAUUCAUUAAAAAUAGUUUGUACAUGUGAAAAUGUCUAUACGACUAUAUGAAGUGGAGGCAAACAAAUGGAUUACCAUCAGGGAAUUUAGAGAAGACUAAUAUAAAUACCUAAGGGGGAGUAUGUUCUUGCAAUUUUCUUUGAUCGAUUGAAGCUCCAUUGCUGAUAUAUUGUUGCUUACUCAUACUGUUUUAUGCUCCUAUUUCACUUGCCUUUGUGGCACAUGCUGAAAAGACAAAGCAUUUGUGCACCUGUUAGUUUCUAUAGGUCAAAAGCAUACACCAGGCUGAUGUAUACUGCCCCUCCAUGUUACAUGAACAUCCAUGCUAAUCAAAAUGGCAACCUGCAAAAUCAUGCAUAUUCAUUUGAGCUAUAAUAGCUGAAUUUAGUUGUAGGGGUUAACUGUCUGCACCCCUAAUUUCAUAUCCAAGAGUGGUAUUUUUUAGAUUACUUACACUUGACUCAUGGAAUUUUUUCCAAUAUGAUGUCCACUAUGACCUUAACGGCCGCUUUUCGUUUAAACUUACUUCACUUUCUUCCUCCUGAACAUUGGCCGCCUUUUUUCUAAAUGGUUCCAUACAUAUAGUUUGGUCUAAUUUAACAAGGCUAAUUCAUUGGUAUUAUUUUUCUCUUUUACCUGAAAAAAUGGCAGAUAAUGACAAUCCCUAAUGGACUGCACAAUGGGUGGUUCAAAAAGGACUAUAGACGUCUGGAGUUCGACCAGAAACAUGACACACCAUUAGAUGAUGUGGAUGUUGUCUUCCAUAAUUCAGAAGUUAAGCUUCAACGAUUGACAAUUUUUUAUAAGGAAUACUGCAGUGUACAAAUGAAAUUUUUUCUCUCUUGCUUAAAGCAUCUAACUGCACACAAGAUAUAACAUAAGCAACAAGGAUGCACAGCCAUCGUGCAGACAGAAGACAAAAACACACGAAAGUAACAUCCUCGGCCACCUUUGGACUCUUCUCCAAAAAGAUCAAAAACUGAAGAACCCAAACCACAUGCUGAAAGCACUGGACAUGAGGCCUAGUCAACAAAAGAAGGAACAAAGGUCUUCUACUCUUCUGCUGUCGCGCGCGAAGGCGCGCGCCCUCCACUAGUGAAUAAAAAGAGAUGUUCAACACGCGUUACAGGGGACAAGGCACAUAAAUAAAGAGCAAUGUUCAACUUUUUUUUUCUUAGCUCCCUUUUCUCCAUACGGUCACCGGACAGCUCAUUUGUCUCUGACUGUCAUAUCUCCGGACUUGUCCUCGACUGCUGAUCAUCCACACCUGCAUUCAUUGGUACAUGUAUGUGGACAUUUCUAAAACAAUACCCAACUCAUCAUUUGUAGUAUGCUCAUUUGAGUUUAUCUGACGAAUCUCAGCCAUUUAGCAGUGUUUUUCUCUUUCAAUAAAUCAGUGGACAAUCAUAACUUUUCAAACAAGCGAACAGGCUUACACUGACAUCAUAGCCUACACAUGAUUAAGCGUUUGACAAGGUUUCAAAUUCUCUCGUCAUUUCAAAUCCAGUUUUCUUUUUUAGAAAUGUUUCUCUAGUAUAUGAAUCGAAAACACUUCAUGGAACCAUUUGACUAGCUUGCUAUAUUCUUAAAGCUAGAACUAACCAGGUUUGGAGUGUUUCUGUGGACUAGUAUAAAAACGACAAUUGGCUCCAAAUUAUUCUCGAUAAAAUGUUUCACUGUUUAUGAUAUUUGGCAAUGGUCCUAGUGAUUUUAUUAAGAAUAUGAAAUAUUUCUCAUUGCCAAAUUAUGUAUGCGGCGACGCGCAAAACACAAGUGGGUAAAGAACUGGAAGCUUCAGAAAAAAAAAAAGCAGCAACAGCUGGUCAGUGCGUGGAGCAUUUCCCACCUCUGUUUUGCGCUUCCUGAAUAUGGGCUUCAUCGAGUAUACGGGCCAACGCAAGAACCGUGUUAUUUCUUCGUGCCGUCGGAUGCCCAACGGACGUCAUCGGGCAUAGUAUGUUUUUCAGGUGAUGUUGCAGUAGGAUAGGGUUCCGGCGAGCUCUCGGGUUCAGAUCUCGUCAUUGUUGCAAUGGUUCUAUCUAGACGUUGCAGUAGGUUUUAGUCGUUGUUGCAGUUUUGUGUUUUGAGAUGUUGUUUCAGUUGCUUCAGUCUGCAUGUUGUAGUAGUUUGUUUUAUGUUGUUACAACAUUUGUUCGGUGUUGUUGUAGUACUAUGUCCAUGGUGUUUUAGUUGCUCCAUCCAAUGCUUUAAUUUGCACUGUUGUAUUAGUUGUUGCAUGUUGUUGCAACAGUUGGUCGAUGUUGUUGUAAUACUAUGUCUAUGGUGUUUCAGUUGCUCCAUCUAAUGGUUCAACCUAUGCUGUUGUAUUAGUUGUUACAUGUUGUUGCAACAGCCGUUCUUUGUUGUUGUAAUACUAUAUUUAUGGUGUUUCGGUUGCUCCA